GCCUAAAGCGUCCGUAGCCUGUUCUAUAAGUUUCCGGUUAAAUCCACUAGCUCAACUAGUGGGCUGCCGAAAAUACUGUAGAACUAGGGAGUGGGAGAAGUAGACGGUAUUCGGUAGGAAGGGGUAAAAUCCUUUGAUCUAUCGAGGACCACCUGUGGCGAAGGCGGUCUACCAGAACACGUUCGACGGUGAGGGAUGAAAGCUGGGGGAGCAAACCGGAUUAGAUACCCGGGUAGUCCCAGCUGUAAACGAUGCAGACUCGGUGAUGCCCUGGCUUGUGGCCAGUGCAGUGCCGCAGGGAAGCCGUUAAGUUUGCCGCCUGGGAAGUACGUACGCAAGUAUGAAACUUAAAGGAAUUGGCGGGGGAGCACCACAAGGGGUGAAGCCUGCGGUUCAAUUGGAGUCAACGCCAGAAAUCUUACCCGAAGAGACAGCAGAAUGAAGGUCAAGCUGGAGACUUUACCAGACAAGCUGAGAAGUGGUGCAUGGCCGUCGCCAGCUCGUGCCGUGAGAUGUCCUGUUAAGUCAGGUAACGAGCGAGAUCCCUGCCUCUAGUUGCUACCAUUACUCUCAGGAGUAGUGGGGCGAAUUAGCGGGACCGCCGCAGUUAAUGCGGAGGAAGGAAGGGGCCACGGCAGGUCAGUAUGCCCCGAA
rnacentral:rRNA from 1 species